rnacentral:rRNA from 1 species
UACAGAGGUCCCAAGCGUUGUUCGGAUUCACUGGGCGUAAAGGGUGCGUAGGCGGUCGGGUAAGUCUGAUGUGAAAUCUCACAGCUUAACUGUGAAACUGCAUUGGAUACUAUUCGGCUUGAGAGUUGGAGGGGGGACUGGAAUUCUUGGUGUAGCAGUGAAAUGCGUAAAUAUCAAGAGGAACACCAGUGGCGAAGGCGAGUCCCUGGACAACUUCUGACGCUGAGGCACGAAAGCUAGGGGAGCAAACAGG